rnacentral:rRNA from 1 species
CUACGGGAAACCCGAACACAUGCAAGUCGAGCGGAACGAGUUAUCUGAACCUUCGGGGAACGAUAACGGGAGAGCGGCUGACGGGUGAGUAAUGCCUAGGAAAUUGCCCUGAUGUGGGGGAUAACCAUUGGAAACGAUGGCUAAUACCGCAUGAUGCCUACGGGCCAAAGAGGGGGACCUUCGGGCCUCUCGCGUCAGGAUAUGCCUAGGUGGGAUUAGCUAGUUGGUGAGGUAAGGGCUCACCAAGGCAACGAUCCCUAGCUGGUCUGAGAGGAUGAUCAGCCACACUGGAACUGAGACACGGUCCAGACUCCUACGGGAGGCAGCAGUGGGGAAUAUUGCACAAUGGGCGCAAGCCUGAUGCAGCCAUGCCGCGUGUAUGAAGAAGGCCUUCGGGUUGUAAAGUACUUUCAGUCGUGAGGAAGGUGGUGUCGUUAAUAGCGGCGUUGUUUGACGUUAGCGACAGAAGAAGCACCGGCUAACUCCGUGCCAGCAGCCGCGGUAAUACGGAGGGUGCGAGCGUUAAUCGGAAUUACUGGGCGUAAAGCGCAUGCAGGUGGUUUGUUAAGUCAGAUGUGAAAGCCCGGGGCUCAACCUCGG